UCCUCGAGUCUGAGAAACACUCUGGUAGAGCCUGAGACUCUUAAUCUCAUGGUCGUGGGUUUGAGCCCCACAUUGGGAAG